GCAAGUCGAGCGAUAACACACUUCAGUUUGCUUCAUUGCUGAACAGCGGCGUACCGGUGAGUAAUGCUGGCCUAUACGCCGUUUGGUGCCCUGCAACCGGUGUCAACUACUGCAAAUACCGCAUGUUGUCCUGGGACGAGGUUGGGGGCUCUUGCGGUCUCAGAUGAACCCACGGCCCAUCAUGUUGUUGGUGAGGUGGUGGCGUACCGGCGCACCGACGGGUAGAUCCCCUGAGGGUUUGACCGGAUGAUCUGGGAACUGGGACUGACACGACUCCCACACUCCUACGGAAUGGGGAAUAGUGCAAUAUGGGCGAAAGCCUGAUGCAGCGACGCCGCCUGAGGGAUGGUGGCCUUCGGGUUGUAAACCUCUUUCACCAUGUCAGAAGCGAAGAAGGGGGUACCUGUAAAAGAAGCUCCCUGUAACUACACUUACACAACAGCCACCAUAUAUCUGCGGGACACCUUGUCCGGAAUUACUGAGGGUGAAAAGCUCAUACGGAGUUUGUGGCGUCAAGUGGUACACCCCGGGUUUGUACCCCGAGACUGCAAUCCCUACGGCUUACCUUGAGAGCUGCAUGUCAGACUGGAAUUCUAGAUUUAGCUAUAAGAUGCUCAAAUUUCAGGAGUAACGCCGAUGUGCAAAGAGAAUCUCUGGAACAUUACUGACGCUGACGAGCACCUGCGUGAACAGCGACCCUGAUGAAAUACACUGUUAGUCCACAACGUAAACAGAGACCCUUAUAUGUUGGCGACAUUCCAAUGUCUACUAGCCGCAGCUAGCCCAUUUUCUGCCUUGCAUGGGGAGUACGGCCGUAGGCUAAAACUCAAGUACAGUGACAGGUCCCACACAAACGAAUUGCAUGUGGCCUUAACUCGACGCAGCGCAAGUAGCCUUACCAAGGUGUGACAUAAACAGGAUAACGUCAGGCUUACAGAUACCCCCCAUUGUGCUAGGGUACAUGUGGGGGCAUG
rnacentral:rRNA from 1 species